GCUCCGGUAGUGUAGUCGGGCCAAUCAUUUCGGCCUUUCGAGCCGAAAACAUGGGUUCAAAUCCCAUCCGGAGCA
rfam:Methanohalobium evestigatum Z-7303, complete genome.